GAGUUAAUAAUAAUUAUAAAAAUAAUUUCUUAUUCUGACUUAUUCAAUUUGGGCAUGACAGACUUCUUAUUACACUUAUAAAAUCUGAGCUAU
rnacentral:snoRNA from 1 species